UUCGCCCUUUUCCGGUUGAUCCUGCCGGACCCUACUGCUAUCGGGGUGGGACUAAGACAUGCGAGUCGAGCGUCUCUAGCUAUGUUGAGACGCGGCAGACGGCUCAGUAACACGUGGCUAACCUACCCUCAGGACGGGGACAAACCCGGGAAACUGGGGCUAAUAUCCGAUAGGCGAGGAUGCCUGGAAUGGUUUCUCGCUCAAAGGAUCUUGGAAACAUGCUUCCAAGUCGCCUGAGGAUGGGGCCGCGUCCGAUCAGGUUGUUGGUGAGGUAACGGCUCACCAAGCCUAUAACCGGUACGGGCCAUGAGAGUGGUAGCCCGGAGAUGGGUACUGAGACAAGGACCCAGGCCCUACGGGGCGCAGCAGUCGCGAAAACUCCGCGAUGCACGCAAGUGUGACGGGGCUACCCCGAGUGCCGUCCGCUGAGGAUGGCUUUUCCUUGGUGUAACUAGCCAGGGGAAUAAGGAGAGGGCAAGACUGGUGUCAGCCGCCGCGGUAAUACCAGCUCUCCGAGUGGUAGGGAUGAUUAUUGGGCUUAAAGCGUCCGUAGCCGGCUUAACAAGUUUCCUGUUAAAUUCAGCGACCUAAUCGUUGAGCCGCGGGAAAUACUACUAGGCUAGGAGGCGGGAGAGGUCAACGGUACUUCCGGGGUAGGGGUGAAAUCCUAUAAUCCCGGGAGGACCACCAGUGGCGAAGGCUGUUGACUAGAACGCGCUCGACGGUGAGGGACGAAAGCUGGGGGAGCGAACCGGAUUAGAUACCCGGGUAGUCCCAGCUGUAAACGAUGCGAGC
rnacentral:rRNA from 1 species